rnacentral:rRNA from 1 species
UACAGAGGGUGCGAGCGUUAAUCGGAAUUACUGGGCGUAAAGGGUGCGUAGGUGGGUAUUUAAGUGAGAGGUGAAAUCCCCAGGCUUAACCUGGGAACUGCCUCUUAUACUGGGUAUCUGGAGUGUGGUAGAGGGUAGUGGAAUUUCCGGUGUAGCGGUGAAAUGCGUAGAUAUCGGAAGGAACACCAGUGGCGAAGGCGGCUACCUGGACUAACACUGACACUGAGGCACGAGAGCGUGGGGAGCAAACAGG